rnacentral:rRNA from 1 species
CAGUCGCCACGGGAAUACGGAGGGAGCUAGCGUUGUUCGGAAUUACUGGGCGUAAAGCGCACGUAGGCGGCUUUGUAAGUUAGAGGUGAAAGCCUGGAGCUCAACUCCAGAAUUGCCUUUAAGACUGCAUCGCUUGAAUCCAGGAGAGGUGAGUGGAAUUCCGAGUGUAGAGGUGAAAUUCGUAGAUAUUCGGAAGAACACCAGUGGCGAAGGCGGCUCACUGGACUGGUAUUGACGCUGAGGUGCGAAAGUGUGGGGAGCAAACAGGAUUAGAUACCCCGGUAGUCCCUGUCUCUUAUAC